rnacentral:lncRNA from 1 species
CCAGCCCAAGGUUUUCGGGCUAUGGUUGGGGGAUUGGUACACGUAGCCCACUUAAUUUCCCCGUAAUUGGUGGUGAUACGGACCGUCUGCCCUUUAUAAAUCACAAUAUCCUUGGGCGUAGUUUUGGAAAUCAGCGGAGGAACAUCUCGCCCAACUGCAAUUUUGAGGGUCAUCGCCAAGGUUUUCCUUGAUUUAAGGUUUCACUGGUAUCUUAAGUAUUCCAUUCAUAGGCUGUCUUGUACAUGUUUAUAAGUUGCACGCUUAUGCAUAUGUGCACUGCCCUUAUCAUCAUAAACUUUUUUGUCUGUAUCUUAGAUAAUAUGUGCUAUCGUAAUUUCCAGUUAUUCCUUGCUAUGAUAUCAAAGUACCUCUGCUCUCUUCUCGGACUAUUGAUCUAGCCAAUGUCAUGGUCGGAUGUGUAAUAAAUAGCUUUGGGCUCAGGGUUACCGAGAGCUUAACUUUGCUCUAUAUACAUGUUUUGGUAUCAGCUUUCAUCUGGCAGCUUAAUAAGUWAUUUUGUUACUCCCUCCGACCCAUAUUAAUUG